AGGCAGCAGUGAGGAAUAUUGGUCAAUGGAGGGAACUCUGAACCAGCCAUACCGCGUGCAGGAAGAAUGCCCUAUGGGUUGUAAACUGCUUUAUUUGGGAAGAACCCUGAUUACGUGUAAUCAGCUGACGGUACCAAACGAAUAAGGACCGGCUAACUCCGUGCCAGCAGCCGCGGUAAUACGGAGGGGUCCAAGCGUUAUCCGGAAUUAUUGGGUUUAAAGGGUCCGCAGGCGGAAUUAUAAGUCAGUGGUGAAAUCUCGAUGCUCAACAUCGAAACUGCCAUUGAUACUGUAGUUCUUGAAUAUAGUCGGAGUAGGCGGAAUGUGUAGUGUAGCGGUGAAAUGCUUAGAUAUUACACAGAACACCGAUAGCGAAGGCAGCUUACUAGGUUAUAAUUGACGCUCAUGGACGAAAGCGUGGGUAGCGAACAGGAUUAGAUACCCUGGUAG
rnacentral:rRNA from 1 species